rnacentral:rRNA from 1 species
UGGGGAAUUUUGGACAAUGGGGGCAACCCUGAUCCAGCAAUGCCGCGUGAGUGAAGAAGGCCUUCGGGUUGUAAAGCUCUUUUGUCAGGGAAGAAACGGUCCGGGCUAAUAUCCUGGGCUAAUGACGGUACCUGAAGAAUAAGCACCGGCUAACUACGUGCCAGCAGCCGCGGUAAUACGUAGGGGGCGAGCGUUGUCCGGAUUUAUUGGGCGUAAAGGGCGCGUAGGCGGUUUCUUAAGUUUGAAGUGACAGUGGGUGGCUUAACUACCCAAGGCCUUUGAAAACUGGGGAACUUGAGGACCAGAGAGGGACAUAGAAUUCCGGGUGGAGUGGUGAAAUGCGUAGAUAUCCGGAGGAAUACCAAAGGCGAAGGCAGUGUCCUGGAGGGUGACUGACGCUGAGGCGCGAAAGCUAGGGGAGCGAAC